rnacentral:rRNA from 1 species
AUACGUAGGUGACAAGCGUUAUCCGGAUUUACUGGGCGUAAAGGGCGUGUAGGCGGUCUUGCAAGUCAGAAGUGAAAUUCCUGAGCUCAACUCGGGCGCUGCUUCUGAAACUGCAGGACUUGAGUGCUGGAGGGGAUAGCGGAAUUCCUAGUGGAGCGGUAAAAUGCGCAGAUAUUAGGAAGAACACCGGUGGCGAAGGCGGAUAUCUGGACAGUAACUGACGCUGAGGCGCGAAAGCGUGGGGAGCAAACAGGAUUAGAUACCCUGGUAGUCCACGCCGUAAACGAUGAGUGCUAAGUGUUGGAGGGUUUCCGCCCUUCAGUGCUGCAGCUAACGCAUUAAGCACUCCGCCUGGGGAGUACGGCCGCAAGGCUGAAACUCAAAGGAAUUGACGGGG